AAUGAUGAAAAUGUUGUUGUUAUACCCAUGAAAUUUGAUUGAAUAUUGUUAAUCAUAAAAAUGUUGGUGCUAAACCCAUGAAAUUUGAUUGAAUUGUGGGAAUGAUGUAAAUCUUGUUUUAAACCCAAGAAACUUGAUUGAAUUGUGUGAAUGAUGAAAAUGUUGUUGUUAAACCCAUGAAAUUUGAUUAAGUUGUGUGAAUGAUGAAAAUGUUGUUGUUAAACCAUGAAUUUGAUUCAAUUGUGAGAAUGAUUAAAAUAUUGUUCUUAAACCAUGAAAUUUUAUUAAAUUGUGUGAAUAAUUAAAAUAUUUUUGUUAAACCCAUGAAAUUUAAUUAAAUUGUGGAAUGAUGAAAAUGUUGUUGUUAAACCCAUGAUAUUUGAUUGAUAUUGUUAAUCAUAAAAAUGUUGGUGUUAACCCAUGAAAAUAUAAUCGAAUUAUGGGAAUGAUGUAAAUCAUGUUUUAACCCGUGAAAUUUGUUGAAUUGUGUGAAUGAUGAAAAUGUUGUUGGUAAACCCAUAAAAUCUGAUUGAAUUGUGUGAAUAAUUAAAAUAUUAUUGUUAAACCCAUGAAAUUUGAUUAAGUUGUGGAAAUGAUGAAAAUGUUGUUGUUAAACCCAUGAAAUUUGAUUGAAUUGUGUGAAUGAUGAAAAUGUUGUUGUUAAACCCAUGAAAUUAGAUAGAAUUGUUGUGAAUGACGUAAAUGUUGUUGUUAAACCCAUGAAAUUAGAUAGAAUUGUGUGAAUGCUG
rnacentral:lncRNA from 1 species